UCUUGCUGCUGUAAUACGAAACAAAGAGAAAUGGAGACAUGUCAGAAGUCUGGGCUGUAUUCAGCAGUUCUUGUUGAUUUUCCAAGUUUCACACAUUCAGAUUAUCAGCGUUGGUGCCUUGCUCAAAGACUCUUUGGUAGUAAUCGGGUACAAGCAAAGCAUGAAGCAACCAAAAGUUAAAUACAUCCACAAAAGAGCUACUACAGAGUUUCAGGGUUUAAAAAGUUAUCACCUUACUGUAUUAACUGUAUUAACAUGAUACUGCAUAUACCUACAUAAAUCCUAGUUUUGUGUUAUGUUUACAUAGUUCUAGCAUCAGAUCUCAAUCUGAUCAAUUCAAAUGUUAAAUAGUUUCAGUUUACUGUCUCUAUGCAUGUUGUAUUUCUAUCCGGCUGCACAAAAUGUUCAUGUCUGCAGCUCUUUUAAUGAGCAUUUCCAUGCAAUUACAAACAUAAGUUAGAUAACUUUUUGUUUUCUAUACAAAAAUUAUAGCUAUAAGGUGUAGAAGACUGGAAAAAAAUAUUUCUAUAUCACAAAAUAAGAGCAAGUUAAACAUUUAAUUUAAAGAAAUCUUGUGGUCUAGGGUUAGACAUCAAAAACCCCAUUAUUACUUUAAAAGAACCUUAGUUUUUCCACACAGUAGGAUGUAAGGACAAAACAGAAAACAAUAAAAAUGCAAAAUUUUCUAGACAUCAUGUCAAACAUCUCUGUUGACGUGCAGAACUCAGAGACAAACUCAUGCAGCACUUACCUGCACAGGCUGAAUGACUAGAGUCCAGAAGCCAUUAACCACAUAUGAACAUGUUUGACUUGUAAUGGACUUCUCACACAAUGAAAUAAAGGGUCAGUAUU